rnacentral:lncRNA from 1 species
CCCAAUUUUAUUUGUAGACACAUCUGUCCUAGCUAUCCUCUUAUGUCUUUUAGUGUCAACUAGAAUGAAAGUAUUUUACUAUUGCCUUCAAAGUGGACACUCACAUUUAAAAUUCAUCAAAAAAGAUAUGUUCAUAGAAAGUCAUAAGAGAAUCCUAAGACACGUCCUAAGAUAUACAUGUAUCUUAUGAAAAGUCUUAGGAAUGCUUCGUAAUACCGACCCCUGAACAUUAACUGUAUCAAAAAAAGGAUAAAACACACUAACAUGAUGGAGUAAUUAAAAAGUUAUGCAAAUAUUAUUGAUGUCAAUAACAUCUGUUGCG